ACAGGUGGUGCAUGGUUGUCGUCAGCUCGUGUCGUGAGAUGUUGGGUUAAGUCCCGCAACGAGCGCAACCCCUAUCCUCAGUAGCCAGCAUUUAAGGUGGGCACUCUGGGGAGACUGCCAGGGAUAACCUGGAGGAAGGCGGGGAUGACGUCAAAUCAUCAUGCCCCUUAUGAUUUGGGCUACACACGUGCUACAAUGGCGUAAACAAAGGGAAGCGAGAUUGUGAGAUGGAGCAAAUCCCAAAAAUAACGUCCCAGUUCGGACUGUAGUCUGCAACCCGACUACACGAAGCUGGAAUCGCUAGUAAUCGCGGAUCAGAAUGCCGCGGUGAAUACGUUCCCGGGUCUUGUACACACCGCCCGUCACACCAUGGGAGUCAGUAACGCCCGAAGUCAGUGACCUAACUGCAAAGAAGGAGC
rnacentral:rRNA from 1 species